CCCUGACAGUGUUGUGCUUGAUUCCAGCUGGAGACCAAGAGACCAUGACAAUGUCUCAUGGAAGCCUAUUUCAAUGAUCUGCACUGGGAAGUCCCCAAAGUCAGUUCUGGAAGCUAGAAAAUCUGUGCCAGCAGGCUGAAG